UUAAGUUAGAAAGGGCGCACGGUGGAUGCCUUGGCACUAGGAGCCGAUGAAGGACGGGACGAACACCGAUAUGCUUCGGGGAGCUGUAAGCAAGCUUUGAUCCGGAGAUUUCCGAAUGGGGAAACCCACCACUCGUAAUGGAGUGGUAUCCAUAUCUGAAUACAUAGGAUAUGAGAAGGCAGACCCGGGGAACUGAAACAUCUAAGUACCCGGAGGAAGAGAAAGCAAAUGCGAUUCCCUGAGUAGCGGCGAGCGAAACGGGACCAGCCCAAACCAAGAGGCUUGCCUCUUGGGGUUGUAGGACACUCUGUACGGAGUUACAAAGGAACGAGGUAGAUGAAGAGGUCUGGAAAGGCCCGCCAUAGGAGGUAACAGCCCUGUAGUCAAAACUUCGUUCUCUCCUGAGUGGAUCCUGAGUACGGCGGAACACGUGAAAUUCCGUCGGAAUCCGGGAGGACCAUCUCCCAAGGCUAAAUACUCCCUAGUGACCGAUAGUGAACCAGUACCGUGAGGGAAAGGUGAAAAGCACCCCGGAAGGGGAGUGAAAGAGAUCCUGAAACCGUGUGCCUACAAGUAGUCAGAGCCCGUUAACGGGUGAUGGCGUGCCUUUUGUAGAAUGAACCGGCGAGUUACGAUCCCGUGCAAGGUUAAGCAGAAGAUGCGGAGCCGCAGCGAAAGCGAGUCUGAAUAGGGCGAAUUGAGUACGUGGUCGUAGACCCGAAACCAGGUGAUCUACCCAUGUCCAGGGUGAAGUUCAGGUAACACUGAAUGGAGGCCCGAACCCACGCACGUUGAAAAGUGCGGGGAUGAGGUGUGGGUAGGGGUGAAAUGCCAAUCGAACCUGGAGAUAGCUGGUUCUCUCCGAAAUAGCUUUAGGGCUAGCCUCAAGGUAAGAGUCUCGGAGGUAGAGCACUGAUUGGACUAGGGGCCCCUACCGGGUUACCGAAUUCAGUCAAACUCCGAAUGCCGAUGACUUAUCCUUGGGAGUCAGACUGCGAGUGAUAAGAUCCGUAGUCGAAAGGGAAACAGCCCAGACCGCCAGCUAAGGUCCCAAAGUAUACGUUAAGUGGAAAAGGAUGUGGAGUUGCUUAGACAACCAGGAUGUUGGCUUAGAAGCAGCCACCAUUUAAAGAGUGCGUAAUAGCUCACUGGUCGAGUGACUCUGCGCCGAAAAUGUACCGGGGCUAAACGUAUCACCGAAGCUGCGGACUGUUCUUCGAACAGUGGUAGGAGAGCGUUCUAAGGGCUGUGAAGCAAGACCGGAAGGACUUGUGGAGCGCUUAGAAGUGAGAAUGCCGGUAUGAGUAGCGAAAGAGGGGUGAGAAUCCCCUCCACCGAAUGCCUAAGGUUUCCUGAGGAAGGCUCGUCCGCUCAGGGUUAGUCGGGACCUAAGCCGAGGCCGAAAGGCGUAGGCGAUGGAUAACAGGUUGAUAUUCCUGUACCACCUCCUCACCAUUUGAGCAAUGGGGGGACGCAGGAGGAUAGGGUAAGCGCGGUAUUGGAUAUCCGCGUCCAAGCAGUUAGGCUGGGAAAUAGGCAAAUCCGUUUCCCGUGAAGGCUGAGCUGUGAUGGCGAGCGAAUUAUAGUAGCGAAGUUCCUGAUUCCACACUGCCAAGAAAAGCCUCUAGCGAGGUGAGAGGUGCCCGUACCGCAAACCGACACAGGUAGGCGAGGAGAGAAUCCUAAGGUGAUCGAGAGAACUCUCGUUAAGGAACUCGGCAAAAUGACCCCGUAACUUCGGGAGAAGGGGUGCUCUGUUAGGGUGCAAGCCCGAGAGAGCCGCAGUGAAUAGGCCCAGGCGACUGUUUAGCAAAAACACAGGUCUCUGCGAAGCCGUAAGGCGAAGUAUAGGGGCUGACGCCUGCCCGGUGCUGGAAGGUUAAGAGGAGCGCUUAGCGUAAGCGAAGGUGCGAAUUGAAGCCCCAGUAAACGGCGGCCGUAACUAUAACGGUCCUAAGGUAGCGAAAUUCCUUGUCGGGUAAGUUCCGACCCGCACGAAAGGCGCAACGAUCUGGGCACUGUCUCAACGAGAGACUCGGUGAAAUUAUAGUACCUGUGAAGAUGCAGGUUACCCGCGACAGGACGGAAAGACCCCGUGGAGCUUUACUGCAGCCUGAUAUUGAAUGUUGGUACAGCUUGUACAGGAUAGGUAGGAGCCUUGGAAAUCGGAGCGCCAGCUUCGGUGGAGGCAUCGGUGGGAUACUACCCUGGCUGUAUUGACCUUCUAACCCGCCGCCCUUAUCGGGCGGGGAGACAGUGUCAGGUGGGCAGUUUGACUGGGGCGGUCGCCUCCUAAAAGGUAACGGAGGCGCCCAAAGGUUCCCUCAGAAUGGUUGGAAAUCAUUCGCAGAGUGUAAAGGCACAAGGGAGCUUGACUGCGAGACCUACAAGUCGAGCAGGGACGAAAGUCGGGCUUAGUGAUCCGGUGGUUCCGCAUGGAAGGGCCAUCGCUCAACGGAUAAAAGCUACCCCGGGGAUAACAGGCUUAUCUCCCCCAAGAGUCCACAUCGACGGGGAGGUUUGGCACCUCGAUGUCGGCUCAUCGCAUCCUGGGGCUGUAGUCGGUCCCAAGGGUUGGGCUGUUCGCCCAUUAAAGCGGUACGCGAGCUGGGUUCAGAACGUCGUGAGACAGUUCGGUCCCUAUCCGUCGCGGGCGCAGGAAAUUUGAGAGGAGCUGUCCUUAGUACGAGAGGACCGGGAUGGACGCACCGCUGGUGUACCAGUUGUUCUGCCAAGGGCAUCGCUGGGUAGCUAUGUGCGGACGGGAUAAGUGCUGAAAGCAUCUAAGCAUGAAGCCCCCCUCAAGAUGAGAUUUCCCAUUCCGCAAGGAAGUAAGAUCCCUGAAAGAUGAUCAGGUUGAUAGGUCUGAGGUGGAAGUGUGGCGACACAUGGAGCUGACAGAUACUAAUCGAUCGAGGACUUAACCAA
rnacentral:rRNA from 1 species